UUGAAAGGUGGGGCAAAAUUCAGAAUAAAUAUGAUGAUCCACGAAACAUCCAAUCUGAUUAUUUAUGAUCUUUCCCUUUCCUUUUUCUCCAAAAAACAAAUACUCUCUCUCUCUCUCUAUUAAUUGUUUUACAGCCAACAACAAUACAUAUUUUUGACAGUACGUACCAGAAAAACUCCACCAUCUUAAAUAGUGCUCAACUGCCCCCUCUUUUUCAACUACUACUAUAUACCUUCUCUCUAUUUUCAUUUGCGUAUAAAAUUAAAUACUAGUAGUAAUACUGCAGAUUUAUGACAAGGCAACAAUCUUGAUUUUCAUGGAGGUUUCUCAAAGGGUAACUCACACCAGUUCUUUGGCAUUCUGUCCACCUCCUUCAUGUAUUAUAUAUAUGCUUCCGUUUGGUCAUAGAUCAAUUUUGAAAUUUGAAGUUAUGUUUUUAUAUUUUUUUUACUUGAAAAAGAGUUUGACAUUGUGUAAGUGAAAGUCCCCAAAAAUCCAAAGAGUGGUCUGAGCAAGUUUUUAUGAACGUGAAAAUAUUUGAAGAUUAGACUUUCAUGUUUGUCAUCAGACAAAUAUUUGACGAUAAAUUUUCAAAACCUAUGACCAAACGCUAGCAUAUUAGAUUUUUUUUCUUUUUCUUUUUUAUAAAAUAAUAAUGGAGGUGGGCAUACUGCCAACAGAGUUGUGUUGGUUACUCUUUGUGAAAUCCCCGUGAUGUUUCAUCUCAGACCUUCUUCAUGAUCUUGUUGUUGUUAAUUCCCCCCCAGAAUUUGUGCUGACGAUGAUGUCUAGGGUUUUUUGGGAAAUUCCAAAAAGGUAAUAACAUGAUAUUAGUCAGACAUCUAAAUUGGAGAUAUUUGGAUGUCUAGCUAAUUGUCCAAGCCGUAAUGAUAGUAUCUUGUGCACCUGAAUUGGUGUCCUCACUUUUUCUAAACAACGGGGAAGAGGAUCAAAACAUGCCACUGAAAGAUUGUUCGGUAAACGAUGAGUUGUCAAGAACGUUAAAGAAGGUAGGAUGGAUCGUUGGUCAGAUCUAGUAUGAGAUUAUUUAUGUAGUUGGAAUUGACUGCUACCUAAAGGUUUUAAUUUUACAAGCAGAAAUUAAAUUUGUCUGCUUAGUGAAGAAAAAAUAAGCAUGAAAAUAGUACUAUUGCUAGGUUUUGACUUUGGAUUCAAUAGUAAAAAUGCGACGUUUAUGUGAAGAUAUGUGCUCAUUAUAUUGUGCCUAGUUAACUUUGAAGCUUCAUCUAACUAGUCCUCGAGGAUUUUUUGAUUAUUGAACGAAAAAGGUGAGACCGGAAUUAUGUCUAGGCUUUGUACGGAGUACAUAUGUGUAAUUCGAUAUGUUUAUUGAGAAGUAAAAUGUAAGACAUGAACAUAUGUUCUCAUUAUACUGUGCCUAGUUAACUUUGAAC